rnacentral:piRNA from 1 species
UAGGAAGUUCUAGACCUUUGGGUUCCAACC